rnacentral:rRNA from 1 species
GAUGUAWUGAUUAAUAGGGACAKUUGGGGGCAUUAGUAUMAGUUGUCAGAGGAGAAAUUYUAGGAUUUACUGAAGACUGUUAWUGCGAAAGCAUUUGCCAAGGAUGUUUUCAUUAAUCAAGAMGGAAGUAGGGGGAUUGGAGRMGRUUAGAUUCCGUUGUURUUUUUACCGUAAAAUAUGCCGRCCAGGGGUUCGGGGGGUGUKUAUGUGAGACUCCGCUGGGGCACCUUACGAGUUAGAUAAGUGUUUGGGUUUUGGGGGGAGUAUGGUCGCAAGGCUGAAACUAAAGAAAUGACGGAAGGAAAWUAAAAUUUUU